rnacentral:rRNA from 1 species
AGNUCGAACGGNNNAAGGGACCGGNUUUUUGCCUGGNUUCAUGGAUGAGAUGGCGAACGGGAUGAGUAACACGUGUAGCUAACCUGCCCCCGUUCUUCUGGAUAACCGCAUGAAAGUGUGGCUAAUACGGGAUAUUCUGCGCCUGCUGCAUGGUGGGUGUGGGAAAGAUAUUGUUUCGGUGGGGGAUGGGCUCGCGGCCUAUCAGCUUGUUGGUGGGGUGAUGGCCUACCAAGGCGGUGACGGGUAGCCGGCCUGAGAGGGUGGACGGUCACACUGGGACUGANACACGGCCCAGACUCCUACGGGAGGCANCAGUGGGGAAUAUUGCACAAUGGGCGCAAGCCUGAUGCAGCGACGCCGCGUGAGGGAUGGAGGCCUUCGGGUUGUAAACCUCUUUCGCCAGUGAAGCAGGCCUGCCUCUUUUGUGGGUGGNUUGACGGUAGCUGGAUAAGAAGCGCCGGCUAACUACGUGCCAGCAGCCGCNGUAAUACGUAGGGCGCGAGCGUUGUCCGGAAUUAUUGGGCGUAAAGAGCUCGUANGCGGCUGGUCGCGUCUGUCGUGAAAUCCUCUGGCUUAACUGGGGGCUUGCGNUGNGUACGGGCCGGCUUGAGUGCGGUAGNGGAGACUGGAACUCCUGGUGUAGCGGUGGAAUGCGCAGAUAUCAGGAAGAACACCGGUGGCGAAGGCNGGUCUCUGGNCCGUUACUGACGCUGAGGAGCGAAAGCGUGGGNAGCGAACAGGAUUAAAUACCCUGNUAGUCCACGCCNUAAACGUUGGGCA